AACCGCCCCUCGGCGUCCGCGCGACGGUUUCUACCGCCCGCCGCCACCAGGGUUUUCUUCCCCCCUCGCCUUCUUCCUCCUCCUCCCCACGCAAUCCACGGAGGAACCGAGAGCGCGUAGGAGCGCAGCCAUGGCGUGACCGUGUCCAAGAUUCUUCCCCGUCACCGGCUCCGUGUCCAGGAGCUCCGCCGUCCACGUCUUCCUCGCCUACGUCCAGGAGGCCGCUCCCGAACGACUACAGCCACCACUCCUUCCUCUUCGGCCGCCGCCACGUCGUCGUCAAAGUCCUCCGCCUCCGUCCGCUACUCGACCGACGGAUCACACCUCCGUGGUCCUGGCUGCUGAACAUGAUGGAUGAUGAUUUAUUCAAGUUGGACACUGAGCUUUUGGGGGUUUAUUCCGAAGAUGCAACCAAUGAUGACAAGCCCCUGGAGGAUGAACCUCAGAAUGAGCGGACAUGUAAAAAUUCGUUUAUAGUUUAAUGAGUUCUUUGGUGCUUCUUAUUAUUGCUUAAUUCUUUCCCGACCUUUGUUGAUUGCUUGUUUAUUGCUGAAAAUGCAACUUGGGCACCUGAGAACUUAUAUUUUGUUGUUUCCCAUGGUGCAUCAAAAUAUUUUCUACAUGUCUUUGAUUUCUGUUUGAUAACGAUGCAGGUGAUGAUGAUUUCAAGCACCUGUCACAGAAUGCAGAAGAUCAUGUGCCAGCCUUUGACGAACUUGAUGAAGAUGUUCUGACGGGACAAUUAUUCGCUGAGAAUCCCCAGGAGCUGGCUCGGUAUACAGAGAAUCAUGUCCCAAUGUAUGAUAACCAUGGUAUGUAUAAACUCUUUAGUUUGAGG